rnacentral:sRNA from 2 species
AAAAAAACACUGCCUUUUUCGUGGCCUUGUUGUAUCCUAAAGAUCUGCACUGUCAGCUCCUGAACCAUUGAGAGAAGGAAGGCUGAAUGGCCAAAGCGACCUGAUCAAGCAUAAAGAUUGCCGCACUUUGCCGCAGUCAGUGCUUAGCCCAGUCAGAUGUGAGAUAUUUGCUGAUUGAAUCAUUCUAACUUCUUACCAAAAUAUAUCCAAAAUGCGCGAGCUCUGGCAUGGGGAUAUAAUGUGAAUGUCUCAUCCGUAACAGGACCAACUAGCUCCAACCGAAUCAUUCAACAUGCAUAACUCUGGUG